rnacentral:rRNA from 1 species
AAAUUGAAGAGUUUGAUCAUGGCUCAGAUUGAACGCUGGCGGCAGGCCUAACACAUGCAAGUCGAACGGUAACAGAAAGCAGCUUGCUGCUUUGCUGACGAGUGGCGGACGGGUGAGUAAUGUCUGGGAAACUGCCUGAUGGAGGGGGAUAACUACUGGAAACGGUAGCUAAUACCGCAUAACGUCGCAAGACCAAAGAGGGGGACCUUCGGGCCUCUUGCCAUCGGAUGUGCCCAGAUGGGAUUAGCUAGUAGGUGGGGUAAAGGCUCACCUAGGCGACGAUCCCUAGCUGGUCUGAGAGGAUGACCAGCCACACUGGAACUGAGACACGGUCCAGACUCCUACGGGAGGCAGCAGUGGGGAAUAUUGCACAAUGGGCGCAAGCCUGAUGCAGCCAUGCCGCGUGUAUGAAGAAGGCCUUCGGGUUGUAAAGUACUUUCAGCGGGGAGGAAGGGAGUAAAGUUAAUACCUUUGCUCAUUGACGUUACCCGCAGAAGAAGCACCGGCUAACUCCGUGCCAGCAGCCGCGGUAAUACGGAGGGUGCAAGCGUUAAUCGGAAUUACUGGGCGUAAAGCGCACGCAGGCGGUUUGUUAAGUCAGAUGUGAAAUCCCCGGGCUCAACCUCGGGAACUGCAUCUGAUACUGGCAAGCUUGAGUCUCGUAGAGGGGGGUAGAAUUCCAGGUGUAGCGGUGAAAUGCGUAGAGAUCUGGAGGAAUACCGGUGGCGAAGGCGGCCCCCUGGACGAAGACUGACGCUCAGGUGCGAAAGCGUGGGGAGCAAACAGGAUUAGAUACCCUGGUAGUCCACGCCGUAAACGAUGUCGACUUGGAGGUUGUGCCCUUGAGGCGUGGCUUCCGGAGCUAACGCGUUAAGUCGACCGCCUGGGGAGUACGGCCGCAAGGUUAAAACUCAAAUGAAUUGACGGGGGCCCGCACAAGCGGUGGAGCAUGUGGUUUAAUUCGAUGCAACGCGAAGAACCUUACCUGGUCUUGACAUCCACGGAAGUUUUCAGAGAUGAGAAUGUGCCUUCGGGAGCCGUGAGACAGGUGCUGCAUGGCUGUCGUCAGCUCGUGUUGUGAAAUGUUGGGUUAAGUCCCGCAACGAGCGCAACCCUUAUCCUUUGUUGCCAGCGGUCCGGCCGGGAACUCAAAGGAGACUGCCAGUGAUAAACUGGAGGAAGGUGGGGAUGACGUCAAGUCAUCAUGGCCCUUACGACCAGGGCUACACACGUGCUACAAUGGCGCAUACAAAGAGAAGCGACCUCGCGAGAGCAAGCGGACCUCAUAAAGUGCGUCGUAGUCCGGAUUGGAGUCUGCAACUCGACUCCAUGAAGUCGGAAUCGCUAGUAAUCGUGGAUCAGAAUGCCACGGUGAAUACGUUCCCGGGCCUUGUACACACCGCCCGUCACACCAUGGGAGUGGGUUGCAAAAGAAGUAGGUAGCUUAACCUUCGGGAGGGCGCUUACCACUUUGUGAUUCAUGACUGGGGUGAAGUCGUAACAAGGUAACCGUAGGGGAACCUGCGGUUGGAUCACCUCCUUACCUUAAAGAAGC